GUUCCCCUGAACACUUCAUUG
rnacentral:miRNA from 1 species